UACGUAGGGUGCGAGCGUUGUCCGGAUUUAUUGGGCGUAAAGAGCAUGUAGGUGGUUUUGUGCGUCUUCUGUUAAAGCUCAGGGCCUAACCCUGGAAGUGCAGGAGAUACGACAAGACUAGAGGAGGUUAGAGGUGCAUGGAACUCACGGUGUAGGGGUGAAAUCCGUUGAUAUCGUGGGGAACACCAAAGGCGAAGGCAGUGCACUGGGACCUUCCUGACACUGAGAUGCGAAAGCGUGGGGAGCAAAAAGG
rnacentral:rRNA from 1 species